UGCGACUUCGUGUUCAAUUUUCUUCAGCAAAAUAAGUAACAUUAAUACAAGUUUUCGCCACGUUUUGUGUAUUUCUACAGAUGACAUGUCGGUGCAAAGAGCAACUGAAACUAAACACACAAAUAAUAACUUCCCAUCUUUAUUUGAAGUAAAAGUAUUCUUGUUGAUAAAUAACUUGUACAGGACAGAAAGCUAGUAAAAAUACAUUGUAAAUCAGUUAUUGGGUCAAAGAAAACGUCUGAUAUGAUCUGGAAAAUCACCUGUCUAUAAAUAGAAAACAAAGAAUUCCAUUUGAACAUGAAUGGUGGAACACGUUCUCUGGUCUAAAGAUCAGCUGUCAUGGUUUACAAGUUUACAGGAAUAUUCAAGUCCAUGACGGGGCGGAAGUCUGUCAAUGGUACUGGAUGGACAUUAGGCCCUGCCGUCCUGAGGCCAAUGUCAAAGCCAACUGACCCCAGACCAUCAGGACUGUCCACAGGCAAAAGGACGAGAUCCUGGUCAGGAUAGGUGGUACUCCUAGCUCUGGUUGGGUGAUCUGGUGCUGGUGGUAUCUGGAGCUCAAUAGAUUUAUUUCAGUUCAGCACCACUUCUCGUUUCUUUUGCAGUAGUUUUUAAGCCAGGAAAUAUCAUUGAUGAGGUGCUAGGCCUUGACGGCUGCAUGUUAGGCGAAAUCAUGAUCCCCUCCAUGAUGGACCCUAAGGGGGGCAUGUGGCUGUCUAGGUUCUAGUACUUUAUCACUGAUAUUUCGGGGUUAAAUUCUGUUGUAAUUGGGGCGGGUAAGGGUAGUUGUUCUGCAAUAAGUCUCUUGUAGUAAAAGAUACUCCGGUGUUGGAAAGUCUGAUUGGGGUGAAGGGUCAACUUAUCUGUCUGACAGAAAAGCAAGCCCCUCGGUCAAGGGAGAACGGGGGACGUGCCUAGAGGUGGCAUCAGGAGCCCUGCCAGGUCUCGGAAAGCUGACUGUGCUCACACUAGCGGGAGCAGUGUAGAGCCAGUCAUCAAAGGAUCUUUGUCAACAAGGCGAUAAAGACCUUAAGGAUGGACAGAGUGGCAGUAAUCUGUUUAUUCCAUAAAGCUGUGGUUGCCUGGAUCUAAGCCAUCAGGCUGAUGGAUAGGUCCAGAGCAAGCCCAAGUACCUGGAUGUGGUGCUGGAGCCCCUGUCGGUCUCCGAAAGCUAACUGCUUUGCACACUUGAUAUUCAGUGUGGGGCAGUCCAAUAGGAUCAGGUCACCAAGAUCCUACGGGUGGGACAUAGUGGCAGGACUAUAGUCUCCGUAGAGCAGGGCAUGUCCAUAUGGCAAGUAAGAUGUGCGAGAUCCACGCUUUGGCUGCAUCACAAGCAUGAGUGCCAUGUCCUUCAGGGGAGUGUCUAACGUCAGGACAUUCACCGGGUCAGGGUUCCAAAGGGAGCGUGAUCUCACUCUGGAUAGAUGACAUAGCAAUGGGGAUCUUUGUUAUCUCAAGAUGGUUCAUUCAUUUCUCAUUCGUUCCGUCCCUUCCUUGACAAUGUUUAACUCGUGGCACAGACAUGAAUCUGGUACAAGUUAAGCAAUACAGCAUCAUGAUUGGAGCGCCAGGUCUGUGUGGUCCAGGCCUGGUAAUCCAAUGGACCACCAUGUGUCGGACUGUUAUUGCUUGUAAAUCUUGUAUAGGGUGAUUGUUUGUGUCUUGAGUUGAAUACUUGGAGAGGAAUGGACGGAUCUAGUUGAGACUUGAAUUAGCCAUCUUGUGAUUUCCGAUAUCUUUAUUGCUUUGAAGUCUAUUUGGAGUCAAGGUUGCGUAAACUUGAAGAAUCCUGGCUAUAAGGAUGGACUGCCAUGCCCCACCAAACCCCAGACGGGAUCGGACGGGAACGGACGGGAUCGGACGGGAUCAGACGGGGUCGGACGGGACCCAGACCAUCUUUUUCUUUUUUUUUCCCUUUUUUUCUGUUUCAGGUGGUUCUGUUGAGGAGGCCUCCCCGUGGCAGAACUGGUAACAGCUUAACGUAUUUAUCUGCAAAUAAGCCCAUGCCAAAAAAUUAGCCAUUCCCUCACCAAAUUUUUUUUGAAGAAUCAUUGAUUUUACCAAAAAAUAAGUAAUAUAAAUAUGUACUCCCAAAAUUUUGUUACUAAACUUAAAUGCUAGGGCAAGGGAUUUAUUAAAGAUAAAUACGGUACACAUAAAUGUAUGUUUAUGUGGGCUGGCAAACAUCCUCAUUCUGUACAUGUCUCCCCUUGAAAGUAUGGAAAUAUUUUGUAUUUGUACCGGUCUUUCAACAAUUUCUUGUCUGGGUAAUUACUUCUAAAAAGUAUAUAUAUAUAUCUUUGCAGAACUAGCUGCUAGCUAGGUCACUGUGACCUUGAUACAAAGGUCAAAUAAGUGAAUUUUUCCAACAGUUUCUUGUCCAGGCUUUAUCUUUUGAAACCAACAAACCGUUGCAGAAAUCUUCACAAAAAAUAAUGCUGUACACCUUUAUCACCAAAUGAAGAACAGGGCUUUCUUUCUGUGGAUGAGUUACAUUUUUAUCAAUGUUUUGAAUCUUUUUAUGCAUUUUCAUGAGAUGUAGUUGAUUUCCUGAAAGGAAUUUUAAUUUGACAUUUUUUGUUUCUUUUGCAAAAGUGUUUGCCCUUUGUUUAUUUCAAGGCACCUAGCAGCUUCAUUUUUGGACCUAUUUCCUUGGAACUUUGUAGGCUUUAUAAUCAUGAUGUACUUGUAUAGAGCAUUUUGACUAUUUUUGCAAAAGUUAUUGCCCUUUUUUAUUUUUUGUGCUUGAUCUUGCUCCAGCCUAUGGUCCUUUGGUUCCAAUAAUUUCUUGUUUUGGACAAUAACUUCUCAGUAACUUUUAAUAGCCCUGUAAUCUUCCGUAAACUGAUCAAGGCUGAUAUUAAAUAAGGGGAGACAUGUUCUUUCUUCACAAACCUCUAUUCCCAUUUUUUUAAUGCUCUCCCAAUUUCUAGCAAAACAUGUAUGCUAGGUUGUACCUGAAAUUUUCCUUGUUAAUAAAUAGAUUGAAAACAA